AGCGAACGCUGGCGGCAGGCUUAACACAUGCAAGUCGAGCGGGCACUUUCGGGUGUCAGCGGCGGACGGGUGAGUAACGCGUGGGAACGUGCCCUCUGGUUCGGAAUAACUCAGGGAAACUUGAGCUAAUACCGGAUACGCCCUUUUGGGGAAAGGCUUGCUGCCGGAGGAUCGGCCCGCGUCUGAUUAGCUAGUUGGUGAGGUAACGGCUCACCAAGGCGACGAUCAGUAGCUGGUCUGAGAGGAUGAUCCGCCACACUGGGACUGAGACACGGCCCAGACUCCUACGGGAGGCAGCAGUGGGGAAUAUUGGACGAUGGGCGCAAGCCUGAUCCAGCCAUGCCGCGUGAGUGAUGAAGGCCUUAGGGUUGUAAAGCUCUUUUAUCCGGGACGAUAAUGACGGUACCGGAGGAAUAAGCCCCGGCUAACUUCGUG
rnacentral:rRNA from 1 species